UACGUAGGAUGCAAGCGUUGUCCGGAAUUAUUGGGCGUAAAGCGCGUGUAGGCGGCUUUGCAAGUCGGGUGUGAAAGCCCUCAGCUCAACUGAGGAAGUGCGCCCGAAACUGCAGAGCUUGAGUACCGGAGAGGAUGGUGGAAUUCCCCAAGUAGAGGUGAAAUUCGUAGAUAUGGGGAGGAACACCGGUGGCGAAGGCGACCAUCUGGACGGAUACUGACGCUGAGACGCGAAAGCGUGGGUAGCAAACAGG
rnacentral:rRNA from 1 species